UUACGGCAAUAUCACGCUAAAACACCAGUUCUCGUCGGAUCACCGAAAUUAAGCAACGUCGAGCCUGGUCAGUACCUUGAUGGGUGACGACUUCAGAAUACCAG